rnacentral:rRNA from 1 species
UACGGAGGGUGCAAGCGUUAUCCGGAUUUACUGGGUUUAAAGGGUGUGUAGGCGGAUUAUUAAGUCAGCGGUGAAAUCUCCGGGCUCAACCGAAACUGCCAUUGAUACUAUUAGUCUUGAAUAUUGUUGAGGUGGGCGGAACGGGUCAUGUAGCGGUGAAAUGCAUAGAUAUGACCCGGAACACCGAUGCGAAGGCAGCCCACUAAGCAAUGAUUGACGCUGAGGCACGAAAAGCGUGGGGGAU